ACAUGCCUACAACAUAGUAUUAAUGCACCGGAUCCCAUUAGAACUUUGUAGUUAAGCGUGCUCAAGAUAUAGUAGUACUCGAAUGGGUGAUCACCCAGGAAGUCCUAGUGUUUUAUACAUGCC
rfam:Picea glauca, whole genome shotgun sequence.